GAUGAAAGCUGGCGGCGUGCCUAAUACAUGCAAGUCGAGCGAACUGAUUAGAAGCUUGCUUCUAUGACGUUAGCGGCGGACGGGUGAGUAACACGUGGGCAACCUGCCUGUAAGACUGGGAUAACUUCGGGAAACCGAAGCUAAUACCGGAUAGGAUCUUCUCCUUCAUGGGAGAUGACUGAAAGAUGGUUUCGUCUAUCACUUACAGAUGGGCCCGCGGUGCAUUACCUAGUUGGUUAGGUAACGGCUCACCAAGGCAACGAUGCAUAGCCGACCUGAGAGGGGGCUCGGCCACACUGGGACGGAGACACGGCCAAGCGUCAGACGGGCGGCAGCAGUAGGGAAUCUUCAGCAAUGGACGAAAGUCUGACGGAGCAACGCCGCGUGAGUGAGGAAGGCUUUCGGGUCGUAAAACUCUGUUGUUAGGGAAGAACAAGUGCAAGAGUAACUGCUUGUACCUUGACGGUACCUAACCAGAAAGCCACGGCUAACUACGUGCCAGCAGCCGCCGUAACAC
rnacentral:rRNA from 1 species